UACGAAGGGGGCGAGCGUGUUCGGAAUUACUGGGCGUAAAGGGCGCGCAGGCGGCCUUAGAAGUCAGAUGUGAAAGCCCCGGGCUCAACCUGGGAAUGGCAUUUGAUACUCUGAGGCUGGAGUACGGGAGAGGAGAGUGGAAUUCCCAGUGUAGAGGUGAAAUUCGUAGAUAUUGGGAAGAACACCGGUGGCGAAGGCGGCUCUCUGGACCGUAACUGACGGCUGAGG
rnacentral:rRNA from 1 species